rnacentral:rRNA from 1 species
AGAGUUUGAUCCUGGCUCAGGAUGAACGCUAGCGGCAGGCUUCAUACAUGCAAGUCGAGGGGCAGCAUAAAUUACUUGUAAUUUGAUGGCGACCGGCGAACGGGUGCGUAACGCGUAUGCAACUUACCUUUUACUAGAGAAUAGCCAAGAGAAAUUUUGAUUAAUGCUCUAUGUUCUUAUUUACUCGCAUGAGUAAAUAAGCAAAGCUCCGGCGGUAAAAGAUGGGCAUGCGUCCUAUUAGCUUGUAGGUGAGGUAAUGGCUCACCUAAGCUCCGAUAGGUAGGGGUCCUGAGAGGGAGAUCCCCCACACUGGUACUGAGACACGGACCAGACUUCUACGGAAGGCAGCAGUAGGGAAUAUUGGACAAUGGGGGCAACCCUGAUCCAGCCAUGCCGCGUGAAGGAAGACGGCCUUAUGGGUUGUAAACUUCUUUUAUACAGGAAGAAACCUUUCCACGUGUGGAAAGCUGACGGUACUGUAAGAAUAAGGAUCGGCUAACUCCGUGCCAGCAGCCGCGGUAAUACGGAGGAUCCAAGCGUUAUCCGGAAUUAUUGGGUUUAAAGGGUCCGCAGGCUGUUUUUUAAGUCAGAGGUGAAAUCCUGCAGCUCAACUGUAGAAUUGCCUUUGAUACUGAAAGACUUGAGUUAUUGUGAAGUGGUUAGAAUGUGUGGUGUAGCGGUGAAAUGCAUAGAUAUUACACAGAAUACCGAUUGCGAAGGCAGAUCACUAACAAUUAACUGACACUGAUGGACGAAAGCGUGGGUAGCGAACAGGAUUAGAUACCCUGGUAGUCCACGCCGUAAACGAUGGAUACUAGCUGUAUGUCUACUUCAGGUAGAUGUGUGGCCAAGCGAAAGUGAUAAGUAUCCCACCUGGGGAGUACGAUCGCAAGAUUGAAACUCAAAGGAAUUGACGGGGGCCCGCACAAGCGGUGGAGCAUGU